GAUGAACGCUGGCGGCGUGCCUAAUACAUGCAAGUCGAACGAGGUCCUUGCCUUCGGGUGAGGUCCUAGUGGCGAACGGGUGAGUAACACGUUGGUGACCUGCCCCGAAGAGGGGGACAACCCCGGGAAACUGGGGCUAAUACCCCAUGUGAUCCAGAGAGUUAGAGGUCUUUGGAUGAAAUGGAGCAAUCCGCUUCGGGGAGGGGCCUGCGGCCUAUCAGCUUGUUGGUGGGGUGAUGGCCUACCAAGGCGACGACGGGUAGCCGGCCUGAGAGGGCGACCGGCCACACUGGGACUGAGACACGGCCCAGACUCCUACGGGAGGCAGCAGGUGGGGAAUCUUGCGCAAUGGGCGAAAGCCUGACGCAGCGACGCCGCGUGA
rnacentral:rRNA from 1 species